rnacentral:rRNA from 1 species
UACGUAGGUGACAAGCGUUGUCCGGAUUUACUGGGCGUAAAGAGCGCGCAGGCGGUCGAUCAAGUCGAGUGUGAAAGCCCCCGGCUCAACUGGGGAGGGUCAUUCGAUACUGAUCGACUCGAAGGCAGGAGAGGGUAGUGGAAUUCCCGGUGUAGUGGUGAAAUGCGUAGAUAUCGGGAGGAACACCAAUGGCGGAGGCAGCCUCCUGGGCCAAUACUGACACUCAUGCACGAAAGCGUGGGGAGCAAACAGG